AAACUGUAUUCAUAUAUUCUAAG
rnacentral:snRNA from 1 species